GAUGAACGCUGGCGGCGUGCCUAAUACAUGCAAGUCGAGCGAACAGAUGAGGAGCUUGCUCCUCUGACGUUAGCGGCGGACGGGUGAGUAACACGUGGAUAACCUACCUAUAAGACUGGGAUAACUUCGGGAAACCGGAGCUAAUACCGGAUAAUAUAUUGAACCGCAUGGUUCAAUAGUGAAAGACGGUUUUGCUGUCACUUAUAGAUGGAUCCGCGCCGCAUUAGGUAGUUGGUAAGGUAACGGCUUACCAAGGCAACGAUGGGUAGCCGACCUGAGAGGGUAAUCGGCCAAAGGGGAAGGGAGACGUGGCCCAGCCCCGAACGGGAGGCAACAGUAGGAAGGUUUCCGCAAUGGGCGAAAGCCUGAAGGAGAAACGCCGGGGAAGGGAUGAAGGCCUUCGGGCGGGAAAACUGUUUUAUAGGGAAAAAACAAAUGUGUAAGUAACUAUGCGCGUCUGGGCGAUACCAAAGCAAAAAGCCCAGCAAACCUACGU
rnacentral:rRNA from 1 species